rnacentral:tRNA from 1 species
GGAGGACUGUGGCUCAGAAGUAGAGCAUUGACUUUGCAUGCAGAAGGUCCCAGGUUCAAUCCCUGGAUCCUCCA